rnacentral:tRNA from 1 species
GCCUGGCUGGGCUGGGCGCUCGGCCUGGCCGGGCUGGUGGUCGCGCUGACCGCGCCGAUCAGUGGGCAGUGGUUCGACGCCGCGGCCAAACGC